CGACUCCCCUCUGAAAUCGACCUGAACCUUAUCCUCUCAUCCCCCUCACUCUCUCAGUCUCUCUCUGCUCCUUGCGUCUCCUCCCCCGAGCCCAGCCUUCCACUUCUCCUCCCCCGAGAUGAAGCCACCGGCUCGUCCGCUGGCUCGUCGGCGCGACCUCCCUCCCUCCUUCGUCAUCUCUCCUCCCCCUCCCUCGACCCCCUUCUUCCUCCUCCCCUCCCCCAAGCCCCUCCUUCCUCCUCUCCCCUCGCCGAGAUGCAGGAUGCAGCCGCCCGCUCGUCGGCGCGGCUGUGGAUAGGUGCGUCCUCCUUCCUCCUCUCUCCCCCCCCCCCCCCCCCACCCCCCAGCCGCCGAGACGCAUCUCGAGCGCCGCCGAUGAUGAUCUAGUAGUCGGCGCGCCCUCCGAUCUGCCGCUACCGGCGCCGGAAGGGCACGAGAGAUGGCCGGCGACCACCAUCCCCCGUUGUCAUCGUCCCUGAUGCAGCGGCAGCGAGCUUCUUCAUCGCCUGCAAGGUGGCCGAGUGCUGCUGUGUCGGCGGCGAUGGCAGGAAGGCGACGGGCGGCGCUGGCAUCCGGAACAACCUAGGGUUGUUGUUCAAGCGGGGGUUGAUGUGCGGCAAGGAGGUGGAGAUGCAGACGUGCAGUUGGUGCUGGUUGCCGUGGAGGUGGUCAGGAUGGCUUGGUUGUGCUUGCCCUGGUACGUGUUGAUCACCACGGUGGCGUCUGGUAUGACCUUUCCACCUGCUUCACCUGGCACUUCUACGCUGAACACCGGCAGUAGCACCUAUAUGCAUCCGUUUCCAGCAGGCUCUUGCAAAAGAAUUGGAUCCCAUUUCUUGUUGGAUGUAAUUUCAUUUUUAAAUAUUACAUCUGAGAGAGUUAGAUGUAAUUUUCAGGUUAAGAGUUACUUUACGAUUUUGUUGAAUGUAAUUUCAACAUGCCAGCUACUUUCAUGAGUUCAGUAGAUGUAGUUUUAAUGUUAGAAGUUACUUUCUGAUUUUUUUAGGUAGAGUUGUGAUGUUAAAAGUUACAUCUACUUGUAGCUUGGACAAAGUUUCAUGGGGAUGUGAACUGCUACUUUCGAUUGGAUCAAGAUCAGAAGUUAUUUUGCCAAGCAAUUAGGUUUAGUAGAUGGUUCACCCAUCACUAUUGGAUGUGAAUUUGAAUUACGUUAGAUGUAACUAUUAUUUGUAUUUUGAUGGUGUGUAGUGGAUCCUAUAUUACAAGAGAUAUGGUCGUAACUUUAGAUUACGUAAUUACAUCUGACAGAUAUGUAGGUACUUUUGAUACCAACUUAAUUAAUUAGGUGGUGAUAUGAUUGUCUGAUCACUAUUUGGUAUAAAUUCGACGUAACGUUAGAUGUUACUAUGAGUUACAUUAGCGUUUUGUUGGUGUAUUGUGGAUCCUAUAUUAUUAGAGAUAUGGAUGUAAUUUUUUAUUAUGUAAAUACAUCUAACAUAACUGUAGUUACUUUUGAUUUCAAGUUGAUUAGUGAGACGUGAUUUGAUUGUCUAAUCUAUCAAAUUUCUCUAGGCUUCAGCUUUGUGAUUUCUGAUCUCAUUAUUUCUGUACUUAUGCUGGUAGUAGCAUGCAGUUUUGCUGCCCCGGUGCUUUGUUACAUUUUUAGCACACUAAUUAGUAAUUUUCACUUCAUAACCUUCGGCUUAUUCUAUUGCUACUGUUUUAUUUUCUACUACCUCCGUUUCUUGUCGUCGUUUUAGUUCAAAUUUAGGGACGGAGGGAGUAUUAUUUUGUGCUGCCGUCAUUCAUUUGCUGUUUGCGGGGUGGAUGGGAAGACGUCUGCAUCCGUUGAGAUUACUUCCAGACACGACAGUUACUGCAGCUACUAGAAGAAGUUUCUAUUGUUUUUGGGUUAAUGGAAUGUUUUCUUCAUUAGUCAAGGGUGGAUGGGAAUGGGAUUUGCAUCCAUCAAGGUUACUUCCGCACAUACAAGGCAUUAACUGCAACGAACAGAACAAAUUUCUGCUCUUCUUGGGUUACUGGAAUGCUUUCGUCAUUGGACAGUCUGGCAGAACAAUCUUCUUUCUGCCUGAAGUGCAAGAAUUUUCUUUGUCUAUAUAGACCAGUAGAUGUAAUUUUGUUCUCAUUACUUUCUUAGAUCUAUAGAAUUAUUUUGAAGCCAGCAGGAAAUUUCUGACACGUAUAUUGUACUUUUUUUCUCAUAUAUAAUUCUGAUGCACACUGUACAUGUCACUCCAGUUGUUUUUCACUUUUUA